ensembl:lincRNA
UACUCACACCUAAAAUGUAGAGUCGGGCCGAGGCAGGGUGCUGCUGAACGCGGCGGCCGCCCGGGGCGACGGCCUGCUGCUGCUGGGCACCCGCGCGGCCGCGCCGGGCCUGCGAGAGAGCCGGCGGGGCAAGCAGGGGGCCCGGAUGAGCCUGCUGGGGAAGCCGCUGUCCUACUCCAGCGGCCAGAGCUGCCGGCGCAACGCCAAGUACCGGCGCGUGCAGAACUACCUGUACAAUGUCCUGGAGCGGCCGCGCGGCUGGGCGUUUGUGUACCACGCGUUCGUAAGGCCAUUUCAGCUCUUGAAGCCUGGAGCCAAGUCCUGUGGCACAGUGGUGUUCUCACCUGCUAAAGGAAGAAUUUUCAAGUCACUGUCCAAGCACCAUUCUGCUGCAACCCUCAUGGCUCUUGAGCUUCCUGGGGUGAGCAAGGGUGGUGACAAGGUGAAGAAAUAAAGACAAGAUACAGAACACUGGGAUCAGGUGGAGCCUUCUGUCCUGAUGAGAAGAAAGGAGCUGCUCGACCACUGUAGGGCAUUUAUUUAUACAUUCAGCAGGUUGGUUUCAUGUGACUCCCUGUUGCCUAGCAACCUGCAUGCAUGGCAACAUAAGGACUUAGUGUUCUCUUGACUGCAGCAGCUUGUUCAUGUGGCUUGCCUUGGGCACUCUUUGUACUCAGGACUGCCCUUGCCCCAGCUCUGCACAUUGAUCUCCAGCUUCAGCCACUCCACACAGUACAUAUGCACCAUUUCAAACCCCUAAAGUAAAAUGAUUAGAUGACUUUUGAAGAUUUGAGUUUAAAGGCUGGUCUGUGACUUGACAAUAUUUGUUGGCUUUGCUUUUUGGUUAAAUUAUUUCUAUUUUAUAUCAUUUUCUUACUCAUAGGUUCAUAUAUAUGAAAGUAGCAUACUACUUGGCACAUAACGAGCUGUUUUCCUGGAUUUAUAGAUUCACAUAAUGAGCAAGGAUGAGUUUCUUCAAAAAAGGGUUGGAUUGCUUCCCACAUUACUUACUGGUUUUUAGCCAUUACAGCAUCUAAUAUAGUAGUGAAUGCCAUAUUAAAAUGAGCGUUUGUAAUAGAGAAGUUCUUAUUCUCAUGGCUUCCCAGGUAUCCAUCAUUUUCAUUUAUUGUUGAUUUCACAGUUUCUUCCCUAGGAAUGUACCUCGGGUUAAAAUUCUUGCUUACUAUGCACAACACCGUAAGUUUGAUCCCUAGUGCUGAAAAAAAAAAACAAUAAUAAAACAAUCUUUAUUAUCACUUCCUCUUAAUAUGUUUAUAUCCUGAUCCAUAUUUUUGUGCAGCUGAGCAGAAUAAAUUCACUUACCAUGUAAACAUAUUUACUUUAGUCAAAAUUAAUUUUUUAAUGUCUGAGAGUACUAGUCAUGCAAAAUAGUGACAUUCUAGGAAUAAGAGGAAAAAUAAAUUAAGCCUUGUAUUUUCUUUAUAUAGUAGAAUGUAUAUAUUGUUUGUUUCUCUUUUAUUUUUGUGUCACCCAAAGUGGACAGUGACCUGAUUAUAUAGAUGAUUUGCCUGAAAUGUUUCUAUAAAUUGAAAGGCACUUAUGUAGUAAUUACUAGGUGGAUAACAUUCCAUAAUGUCCAUGAGAGGCAGAAAAGAUACUGAAAAUUAAAUACUGCUCACAAAUAAUUAAACAGAAACUCCUACAUGACCAAAACCUUUUAGAAAAGAACAUGUUAAGUGGGAUUUUUCUCUUUUACCUGUCAAGAGAGCUCUUGAUGUCAUUAAGCAAAUAAAAAAUUUUGGCCACAAAGAACUGAUUCACUCUUCCUCCUUCUAGGAGACUUCUGUGUCUCUGUUCUCUUUGGUUUGGUUGUUUAAGUGACCUUAAUUGAUAAAAGAAAAAUAGAUAAAGCUAUUAUGAUAACUAAAGUCUAAAAAUAUGAUGAUUUAGAAGAAUUUCCAAGCUCUCUGUAAACUUACAAAGGCAUAGAGAGUAGUAUCAGUGAGUUUUGCAUUGCUCUUUAAAAAAUCCUUCCAAGGUGAAAUAUUCUAAAGGUCUUCAGGAAACUGGAUGGUUUUCUACAAUAGUAGCUGCCUGAUCAUGAAAAUGCCCAUGUUUCUAAGGAGGUCGAAAGUUUCAUUUUAUUAAGAUUUUUCAAAGACAUGAAGCAUGAUAUUUUGCAAUUAUAAUCAUACUUGGUAUUUAGCAUAAUUCACUUUUUAAGGGAUAUCCUUUCAGUUCGGUAGUUUAAAAUAUUUCAUCUUCCUCCUAUAGAAGAGGGCACUGGUGCUAAAGUCUGCCUGAGUCCUUUCCCCAGUCCUCCCUUCUGACUCCAUGGCUCACCUCUCUCCUUCAGAGAGGCUACCCUGGUCCUCCUCAUCAUCAUCGGUGCCCCAACAUGCAAGUGAUGCUGAACCCAAGCAGAAAGACAGAACAAGAGAGUAGGACAGUUUAAGGGUGUAAAGUGGUUGACACUUUCAGAACCAGAUGACACUGUUGGCUUUGGUUUAGGCUCUCACUGGUCCCACCUGUUUUUCAGCUGUAUUGCCUUGCACACUCCUAGAAAUAUUCUACAACCUGUGUAAUCAGAGGUCCUGUCAAAACUAACAAAAAUGACCAAGCUCUCCAGUUAUGUAACAUGCUAUCUAGAAUCUAUUCUAGGGACAGUUCUCUUCUGGUCCAUGAGAACUAAGAGCUACCUUAGUGGAAGCUGGCCUUGUAUCAUUUGCUUUUUUCAUCGUAUUUCACAAGUGCAAUAAAAAAAACUGUACCAAUUAUCACUAUCCCUGGCAGGUGUAAGGCCAUAGAUUGGACUAGGGUGUGAGGAGGUCAGGUCCUAUGGAAACUUGUCAUGUACUGCAGCAAACGGUGACACAGCUACAUAGAAAGUGGGUCUGUUUGAACACACAGUGUGAGACCAGAAGAAGAGAGAUUAAAAGUCCAUGAAAUUGAUUUUAAUAUUGUUUUGAUAUUAUAGUGUAUUUGGCAUAAGACAGCCAAACAUAUUUUGGUCUAGUAUUUGGCACAUUGUAAUUUAUAGAUUGUGUGUGUGUGCACAUGUGAUAUAACACAAUGCAUUAAUUUUCAAAGGCAAAAUUACUAAAAGUGAAUGAAUCCUAUGUUUGAUGGUCCCUUACUUGCAUGAUCCCUGGUAUUUAAAACUGUCACUGUCUAGCAAAUAUAUUUGCCAUUAAUCUCAAAAGUUACUACUGACUUGCUAAAAACAGGAAGUAGUUAUCUGCAUAUUCUAUCAUGUAGCCAGAUUGUGGCCUAUCUGUACAAAUACGUUUUAAAGGACAAGCAUUAUUUUUGAGAAUAAAAUAGAACCUUUUAAAGUAUAUAGCCAAGAAAAGUAUGCAGCUCACCUAUAAAUUCUUUAAAGACAGUACCUAUUUCAUAACAUAGUGUUCAUAUGUUGCCCACUGAAACAAUUUAAAAAAUCAAUUUAAAGGCUGGAAUUUGAUGAUGCAAUCCAUUUGUAUAGUAUAGUAUUUUAAAAUUAUUGAUGUUUAAAUCUUGAUUGCUUUCAUUAAUAUCUAUCUAAGAAUUUCCAGGAACUUCUGUUCAGAUAUCUAGUAGCAUCUUUUUAAACUUGUAACUAGCUCUGUGUGCCUUAUUCACAUUUCAGGUUGGCCAGAACCUAAGAAACCAUUUUCCACAUCAAAACUCAUAUGAGAUCAUUAGAAAUAUGUUAAUCUUUUGAAAACAACCCUGCAACUUCCUUCUUUCCUAUUUAAUUACAUUUUUCACCUUUUCAAAUUUUACUUGUUUCCCUUCAUUGGCCCAACUCAUCAAGUGUUGCCUUGUGAAGGUGUUGUAGCUUGCUAGUAUUUUGUUUUAAUUUUAUGGAAAAACAACAAAAUUUCAAAACAAAAUUAGAAAACAACAGUUAAUACAAUGUAUAUUAUUAUUUCCAGUAUAGUUAAAGAGUAAAAGAUAUGGGCAUAAAAAAUUAUUCAAACGAUAUUAACACAAACCUUUCUUUCCAAUGAACCUAAGAGAAACUAGUGGUAUAACUAUCUUGUAUUUUUUUUUUCUUUUUCUUUCCAUUCCCCUUUCCCUCACCCUAAUUUCUCUUUCUUUUUGAACAAUUUCUACCCAUUUUACAAUAUCUGUUGUAGAUAUUGGACCUUAUUUACUGUUUCAGUUUCUCAAAUCACGGAGAAAUAGGGUGUUUAUAGAUAUGACUUUGAUUUAUUUUACUUAUGAGCAUUGUCUCAAAUUGCAUUAAUUCACCUAUAAAAGCCUCUAGUUUAUGCUUCUUUAUAGCUGAGCAGUGCUCCAUGUAUAAAAACACCACAUUUUUUAAAUUCGUUUCUCAGCAAUGGGCAUUUGAGUAAUUUCUAAGAUUUAGCUAUAACAAAUUGUGCCGCUAUAAAUAUGAAUGCACACAUACUUUGCUAUGGUGUGAUGUUUUCAGUUCUUCUAGAAAAACAUCCAGAAGGGGAAUAGAUGGACUGAAUAGGACCUCUAGUUCUAGUUUUUUGAGGAAUCUUCAUACUGAUUUCCAGAGUGAUUGCACCAGUUUACUCUCCUGCCAACUGUGGAGAAGAGUUUCUUUUUCCCCACAGCCCUGCCAGCAUUUAUUAUUGGUUGAUUUCUUGAUGAUAGCCAUUGUUU